AUACGUAGGUGGCAAGCGUUGUCCGGAAUUAUUGGGCGUAAAGCGCGCGCAGGUGGUUCCUUAAGUCUGAUGUGAAAGCCCCCGGCUCAACCGGGGAGGGUCAUUGGAAACUGGGGAACUUGAGUGCAGAAGAGGAUAGUGGAAUUCCAAGUGUAGCGGUGAAAUGCGUAGAGAUUUGGAGGAACACCAGUGGCGAAGGCGACUGUCUGGUCUGUAACUGACACUGAGGCGCGAAAGCGUGGGGAGCAAACAGGAUUAGAUACCCUGGUAGUCCACGCCGUAAACGAUGAGUGCUAAGUGUUGGGGGGUUUCCGCCCCUCAGUGCUGCAGCUAACGCAUUAAGCACUCCGCCUGGGGAGUACGGUCGCAAGACUGAAACUCAAAUGAAUUGACGGG
rnacentral:rRNA from 1 species